rnacentral:sRNA from 1 species
AACCUUUCUAAGUACCGGAUGUGUAAUAUUAAAUAUGUAGUUAACCAAGGACAGAGCCUGCACCUAAUGACUUUUGGAGGAUCCUUCUUGCUCAAGACACUAUGAUUCUCAUUACCUGGAUAGUAUUCACCUAUGGAUUGUAUCAUAUAUGAACCACUGAGGAACACACAUUCCUGCAGAUGUUUGCAGAUUAUUAAUUGCUUUAUAUUUGGAGCACCCCUCCCUUCAAUCAGCAUAAAUAUUUGAGGGUGGGCUGUGUUUAGAUGUUUAGUCCCCAAUGAUUACAACAUGAUGCACCACCCUCCUAUACAAAUUUUGAUUUAAGAAAAGAUCUUAUUUUUCAAAGGAAACCACAAGUGAAAGCAAUCUUGAAGAUUCAAUAGCAGUUGAUCAUAUAGUGCCAGGUAAGAACUUUGAAGUAGCACGUGGGAUUAUAUGUAUUUGUAAAUAUAUUUGUAUACAGGGCAGUUGCAAAAAAAAGAGUAUUUAUAAUUGUCCAAAGAGCUUCCAAAGAGGAGCAGCAUUGCAACAGUGUCGUGUAUGAGCAAAAGUCAAGAUUCUUGUGGCUUCUCCAGAGUGCAGGCAGGACCAAACUGAUAGUAGGCAACGUGUCUCAGGUACAAGGAAACCAGUCCUUAGAAGCACCAAUCAGUAAACUUCUUUCCUGAGAUUUUUAUUUUUAUUCAUUUUAUUUUAUUUUAUUUGAGACUGGGUCUUACUUUGUCACCCAGGCUGGAAUGCAAUGACAAGAUCAUGGCUCACUGCAGUGUCGACCUCCCAGGCUCAAGUGAUCCUCCCAUCUCAGCCUCCCCAGUAGCUGGGACCACAAGCAUGUGCCACCACACCUGGCUAAUUUUUGUAUUUUUUGUAGAGACAGGGUUUUGCCAUGUUGGCCAGGCUGGUCUUGAACUCCUAGGCUCAAGCAAUUCGCCUGCCUCGGUCUCCCACAGUGCUGGGAUUAUAGGCAUGAGUCACUUUGCCUGGCCUCUUUCCUGAGAUGCAUGGUGCUUAUGAUAAGCACACAUUAUGUCUAGGUCCCUGCUUCAAGUGUGGCACUUUGGACACAUGCUUCCCACAUUCUGAUUUUGUGCCAAAACCUAUGAGAUGAUCGCAAUGUGGGAAUCAUGGAUGGCUGUGGAAAAUCCUAACACAUUCGUAGUAGACAGGCAGAAUCAUGGAAUGAAAAGGGUAUGGUGUUCAGACUGAGGGAGAUGUGACUAUGAAUCCCUGUUGUGCCCCCCUUUCUUUCUCUCCACAGAAAUGGCACAGGGUGAAGCCCGAUGGUUUCAAGAGGCAAAGAAUCUGAAUGAGCAGCUGAGAGCAGCUUAUACCAGCGCCAGUUUCCGCCACAUGUCUUUGCUUGAUAUCUCUUCUGAUCUGGCCACGGACCACUUGCUGGGCUGUGAUCUGUCUAUUGCUUCAAAACACAUCAGCAAACCUGUGCAAGAACCUCUGGUGCUGCCUGAGGUCUUUGCCAACUUGAACUCUGUCAUGUGUGUGGAGGGUGAAGCUGGAAGUGGAAAGACGGUCCUCCUGAAGAAAAUAGCUUUUCUGUGGGCAUCUGGAUGCUGUCCCCUGUUAAACAGGUUCCAGCUGGUUUUCUACCUCUCCCUUAGUUCCACCAGACCAGACGAGGGGCUGGCCAGUAUCAUCUGUGACCAGCUCCUAGAGAAAGAAGGAUCUGUUACUGAAAUGUGCAUGAGGAACAUCAUCCAGCAGUUAAAGAAUCAGGUCUUAUUCCUUUUAGAUGACUACAAAGAAAUAUGUUCAAUCCCUCAAGUCAUAGGAAAACUGAUUCAAAAAAACCACUUGUCCCGGACCUGCCUAUUGAUUGCUGUCCGUACAGACAGGGCCAGGGACAUCCGUCGAUACCUAGAGACGAUUCUAGAGAUCAAAGCAUUUCCCUUUUAUAAUACUGUCUGUAUAUUACGGAAGCUCUUUUCACAUAAUAUGACUCGUCUGCGAAAGUUUAUGGUUUACUUUGGAAAGAACCAAAGUUUGCAGAAGAUACAGAAAACUCCUCUCUUUGUGGCAGCGAUCUGUGCUCAUUGGUUUCAGUAUCCUUUUGACCCAUCCUUUGAUGAUGUGGCUGUUUUCAAGUCCUAUAUGGAACGCCUUUCCUUAAGGAACAAAGCGACAGCUGAAAUUCUCAAAGCAACUGUGUCCUCCUGUGGUGAGCUGGCCUUGAAAGGGUUUUUUUCAUGUUGCUUUGAGUUUAAUGAUGAUGAUCUCGCAGAAGCAGGGGUUGAUGAAGAUGAAGAUCUAACCAUGUGCUUGAUGAGCAAAUUUACAGCCCAGAGACUAAGACCAUUCUACCGGUUUUUAAGUCCUGCCUUCCAAGAAUUUCUUGCGGGGAUGAGGCUGAUUGAACUCCUGGAUUCAGAUAGGCAGGAACAUCAAGAUUUGGGACUGUAUCAUUUGAAACAAAUCAACUCACCCAUGAUGACUGUAAGCGCCUACAACAAUUUUUUGAACUAUGUCUCCAGCCUCCCUUCAACAAAAGCAGGGCCCAAAAUUGUGUCUCAUUUGCUCCAUUUAGUGGAUAACAAAGAGUCAUUGGAGAAUAUAUCUGAAAAUGAUGACUACUUAAAGCACCAGCCAGAAAUUUCACUGCAGAUGCAGUUACUUAGGGGAUUGUGGCAAAUUUGUCCACAAGCUUACUUUUCAAUGGUUUCAGAACAUUUACUGGUUCUUGCCCUGAAAAUCGCUUAUCAAAGCAACACUGUUGCUGCGUGUUCUCCAUUUGUUUUGCAAUUCCUUCAAGGGAGAACACUGACUUUGGGUGUGCUUAACUUACAGUACUUUUUCGACCACCCAGAAAGCUUGUCAUUGUUGAGGAGCAUCCACUUCUCAAUACGAGGAAAUAAGACAUCACCCAGAGCACAUUUUUCAGUUCUGGAAACAUGUUUUGACAAAUCACAGGUGCCAACUAUAGAUCAGGACUAUGCUUCUGCCUUUGAACCUAUGAAUGAAUGGGAGCGAAAUUUAGCUGAAAAAGAGGAUAAUGUAAAGAGCUAUAUGGAUAUGCAGCGCAGGGCAUCACCAGACCUUAGUACUGGCUAUUGGAAACUUUCUCCAAAGCAGUACAAGAUUCCCUGUCUAGAAGUCGAUGUGAAUGAUAUUGAUGUUGUAGGCCAGGACAUGCUUGAGAUUCUAAUGACAGUUUUCUCAGCUUCACAGCGCAUCGAACUCCAUUUAAACCACAGCAGAGGCUUUAUAGAGAGCAUCCGCCCAGCUCUUGAGCUGUCUAAGGCCUCUGUCACCAAGUGCUCCAUAAGCAAGUUGGAACUCAGCGCAGCUGAACAGGAACUGCUUCUCACCCUGCCUUCCCUGGAAUCUCUUGAAGUCUCAGGGACAAUCCAGUCACAAGACCAAAUCUUUCCUAAUCUGGAUAAGUUCCUGUGCCUGAAAGAACUGUCUGUGGAUCUGGAGGGCAAUAUAAAUGUUUUUUCAGUCAUUCCUGAAGAAUUUCCAAAUUUCCACCAUAUGGAGAAAUUAUUGAUCCAAAUUUCAGCUGAGUAUGAUCCUUCCAAACUAGUAAAAUUAAUUCAAAAUUCUCCAAACCUUCAUGUUUUCCAUCUGAAGUGUAACUUCUUUUCGGAUUUUGAGUCUCUCAUGACUAUGCUUGUUUCCUGUAAGAAACUCACAGAAAUUAAGUUUUUGGAUUCAUUUUUUCAAGCCGUCCCAUUUGUUGCCAGUUUGCCAAAUUUUAUUUCUCUGAAGAUAUUAAAUCUUGAAGGCCAGCAAUUUCCUGAUGAGGAAACAUCAGAAAAAUUUGCCUACAUUUUAGGUUCUCUUAGUAACCUGGAAGAAUUGAUCCUUCCUACUGGGGAUGGAAUUUAUCGAGUGGCCAAACUGAUCAUCCAGCAGUGUCAGCAGCUUCAUUGUCUCCGAGUCCUCUCAUUUUUCAAGACUUUGAAUGAUGACAGCGUGGUGGAAAUUGCCAAAGUAGCAAUCAGUGGAGGUUUCCAGAAACUUGAGAACCUAAAGCUUUCAAUCAAUCACAAGAUUACAGAGGAAGGAUACAGAAAUUUCUUUCAAGCACUGGACAACAUGCCAAACUUGAAGGAGUUGGACAUCUCCAGGCAUUUCACAGAGUGUAUCAAAGCUCAGGCCACAACAGUCAAGUCUUUGAGUCAAUGUGUGUUACGACUACCAAGGCUCAUUAGACUGAACAUGUUAAGUUGGCUCUUGGAUGCAGAUGAUAUUGCAUUGCUUAAUGUCAUGAAAGAAAGACAUCCUCAAUCUAAGUACUUAACUAUUCUCCAGAAAUGGAUACUGCCGUUCUCUCCAAUCAUUCAGAAAUAAAAGAUUCAGCUAAAAACUGCUGAAUCAAUAAUUUGUCUUGGGGCAUAUUGAGGAUGUAAAAAAAGUUGUUGAUUAAUGCUAAAAACCAAAUUAUCCAAAAUUAUUUUAUUAAAUAUUGCAUACAAAAGAAAAUGUGUAAGGCUUGCUAAAAAACAAAACAAAACAAAACAAAACACAGUCCUGCAUACUCACCACCAAGCUCAAGAAAUAAAUCAUCACCAAUACCUUUGAGGUCCCUGAGUAAUCCACCCCAGCUAAAGGCAAACCCUUCAAUCAGGUUUAUACAGCUAACCCUCCAUUGUCCAUGGUCAACAGGGAAGGGGUUGGGGACAGGUCUGCCAAUCUAUCUAAAAGCCACAAUAGGGAAGAAGUAUUCAAUUUAUAUAAUAAAUGGCUAACUUAACGGUUGAAUCAGUUUCAUACAUGGAUGCAACGGGUUUAACACAGGAUCCACAUGAAUCUUCUGUGGGCCAAGAGAUAUUCCUUAAUCCUUGUAGAAUAUUCCUUAAUCCUUGUAGAACCUGUUUUCUAUAUUGAACUAGCUUUGGUACAGUAGAGUUAACUUACUUUCCAUUUAUCCACUGCCAAUAUAAAGAGGAAAUAGGGGUUAGGGAAAAAUGACUUCAUUCCAGAGGCUUCUCAGAGUUCAACAUAUGCUAUAAUUUAGAAUUUUCUUAUGAAUCCACUCUACUUGGGUAGAAAAUAUUUUAUCUCUAGUGAUUGCAUAUUAUUUCCAUAUCAUAGUAUUUCAUAGUAUUAUAUUUGAUAUGAGUGUCUAUAUCAACGUCAGUGUCCAGAAUUUCAUUCCUACCAGUUAAGUAGUUUUCUGAACGGCCAGAAGACCAUUCUAAAUUCAUGAUACUACUAUAAGUUGGUAAACAACCAUACUUUUAUCCUCAUUUUUAUUCUCACUAAGAAAAAAGUCAACUCCCCUCCCCUUGCCCAAGUAUGAAAUAUAGGGACAGUAUGUAUGGUGUGGUCUCAUUAUUUGUUUAGAAAACCACUUACGACUGGGUGCGGUGGCUCACACCUGUAAUCCCAGCACUUUGGGAGGCUGAGGUGGGCGAAUCAUUUGAGGCGAGGAAUUCGAGACCAGCCUGGCCAGCAUGGUGAAACCCCAUCUCUACUAAAAAUACAAAAAUUAGCCAGGUGUGCUGGCAUAUGCCUGUAGUCCCAGCCACUAGGGCGGCUGAGACGCAAGACUUGCUUGAACCCGGGAGGCAGAGGUUGCAGUGAGCCAAGAUGGCGCCACUGCAUUCCAGCCUGGGCAACAGAGUGAGACCCUGUCUCAAAACAAAAAACAAAACCACUUAUAUUGCUAGCUACAUUAAGAGUUUCUGAAUAUGUUACUGAGCUUGCUUGUGGUAACCAUUUAUAAUAUCAGAAAGUAUAUGUACACCAAAACAUGUUGAACAUCCAUGUUGUACAACUGAAAUAUAAAUAAUUUUGUCAAUUAUACCUAAAUAAAACUGGAAAAAAAUUUCUGGAAGUUUAUAUCUAAAAAUGUUAAUAGUGCGUACCUCUAGGAAGUGGGCCUGGAAGCCAUUCUUACUUUUCAGUCUCUCCCAUUCUGUACUGUUUUUUGUUUUACUUGUGCCUGCAUUAUUUUUCUAUUUAAAACAAAAAUAAAUCUAGUUUAGCACU